UGGGGAAUAUUGCACAAUGGGCGAAAGCCUGAUGCAGCGACGCCGCGUGAGGGAUGACGGCCUUCGGGUUGUAAACCUCUUUCAGCAGGGAAGAAGCGAAAGUGACGGUACCUGCAGAAGAAGCGCCGGCUAACUACGUGCCAGCAGCCGCGGUAAUACGUAGGGCGCAAGCGUUGUCCGGAAUUAUUGGGCGUAAAGAGCUCGUAGGCGGUUAGUCGCGUCUGCUGUGAAAACUCGAGGCUCAACCUCGGGCUUGCAGUGGGUACGGGCUGACUAGAGUGCGGUAGGGGUGACUGGAAUUCCUGGUGUAGCGGUGGAAUGCGCAGAUAUCAGGAGGAACACCGAUGGCGAAGGCAGGUCACUGGGCCGCAACUGACGCUGAGGAGCGAAAGCAUGGGGAGCGAACAGGAUUAGAUAGCCCUGGUAGUCCAUGCCGUAAACGUUGGGCACUAGGUGUGGGGUCCAUUCCACGGAUUCCGUGCCGCAGCAAACGCAUUAAGUGCCCCGCCUGGGGAGUACGGCCGCAAGGCUAAAACUCAAAUGAAUUGACGGGGUCAUAGCUGUUUCCU
rnacentral:rRNA from 1 species